rnacentral:rRNA from 1 species
UACGUAGGGGGCAAGCGUUGUCCGGAAUCAUUGGGCGUAAAGCGCGUGUAGGCGGCUCGGUAAGUCUGCUGUGAAAGUCCAGGGCUCAACCCUGGGAUGCCGGUGGAUACUGUCGAGCUCGAGUCCGGAAGAGGCGAGUGGAAUCCUGGUGUAGCGGUGAAAUGCGCAGAUAUCAGGAGGAACGACCGAUGGCGAAGGCAGCCCCCUGGGUCAAAACUGACGCUCAUGCGACGAAAGCGUGGGGAGCAAACAG